rnacentral:tRNA from 1 species
CCUGAGUACACAACACCAACAUAGGAAAAAAAAAAAAAUCAUAUUACAAGAACACAUUGGUAUUGAAGGAACUAGAUACUGUUCCGAAAUAUCACUUACUCGAACCGUCCUGACCGCGUAGCUCAGUUGGAAGAGCAUUGGGCUAGUAUUCCAAAGGUCGUAGGUUCGAAUCCCACCGUGGCCGGGCAUAUUUUUCAAGCUCGCCCGGUGUGGAUAUGCACUCAGAGUAACAUCACAAACAUAUUAUUCACCUGAGUACACAACACCAGCACAGAAAAAAAAAAUUCAUAUUACAAGAACACAUUGGUAUUGAAGGAACUAGAUACUGUUCCGAAAUAUCACUUACUCGAACCGUCCUGACCGCGUAGCUCAGUUGGAAGAGCAUUGGGCUAGUAUUCCAAAGGUCGUAGGUUCGAAUCCCACCGUGACCGGGCAUAUUUUUCAAGCUCGCCCGGUGUGGAUAUGCACUCAGAGUAACAUCGCAAACAUAUUU